rnacentral:rRNA from 1 species
CUGUCGAGAUGCCUAAAAAGCAUUUCAUAGCAAGGGCCGGGCAAGACCGGUGCCAGCCGCCGCGGUAACACCGGCGGCUCGAGUGGUAACCGUUAUUAUUGGGUCUAAAGGGUCUGUAGCCGGCCGGAUAAGUCUCUUGAGAAAUCUGGCAGCUUAACUGUCAGGCUUUCAGGAGAUACUGUCUGGCUCGAGGCCGGGAGAGGUGAGAGGUACUUCAGGGGUAGGGGUGAAAUCUUGUAAUCCUUGAAGGACCACCAGUGGCGAAGGCGUCUCACCAGAACGGACCUGACGGCAAGGGACGAAAGCUAGGGGCACGAACCGGAUUAGAUACCCGGGUAGUCCUAGCCGUAAACGAUACUCGCUAGGUGUCGGCCACGGUGCGACCGUUGUCGGUGCCGUAGGGAAGCCGUGAAGCGAGC